rnacentral:rRNA from 1 species
CCUACGGGAGGCAGCAGUAGGGAAUCUUCCACAAUGGGCGAAAGCCUGAUGGAGCAACGCCGCGUGGGUGAAGAAGGUCUUCGGAUCGUAAAACCCUGUUGUUAGAGAAGAAAGUGCGUGAGAGUAACUGUUCACGUUUCGACGGUAUCUAACCAGAAAGCCACGGCUAACUACGUGCCAGCAGCCGCGGUAAUACGUAGGUGGCAAGCGUUAUCCGGAUUUAUUGGGCGUAAAGGGAACGCAGGCGGUCUUUUAAGUCUGAUGUGAAAGCCUUCGGCUUAACCGGAGUAGUGCAUUGGAAACUGGGAGACUUGAGUGCAGAAGAGGAGAGUGGAACUCCAUGUGUAGCGGUGAAAUGCGUAGAUAUAUGGAAGAACACCAGUGGCGAAAGCGGCUCUCUGGUCUGUAACUGACGCUGAGGUUCGAAAGCGUGGGUAGCAAACCGGAUUAGAUACCCUGGUAGUC